rnacentral:rRNA from 1 species
UGGGGAAUUUUGGACAAUGGGCGAAAGCCUGAUCCCAGCAAUGCCGCGUGUGUGAAGAAGGCCUUCGGUUGUAAAGCACUUUUGUCCGGAAAGAAAUCCUUGGCUCUAAUACAGUCGGGGGAUGACGGUACCGGAAGAAUAAGCACCGGCUAACUACGUGCCAGCAGCCGCGGUAAUACGUAGGGUGCAAGCGUUAAUCGGAAUUACUGGGCGUAAAGCGUGCGCAGGCGGUUUGCUAAGACCGAUGUGAAAUCCCCGGGCUCAACCUGGGAACUGCAUUGGUGACUGGGCAGGCUAGAGUAUGGCAGAGGGGGGUAGAAUUCCACGUGUAGCAGUGAAAUGCGUAGAGAUGUGGAGGAAUACCGAUGGCGAAGGCAGCCCCC